GCUCCAAUAGCGUAUAUUAAAGUUGUUGCAGUUAAAAAGCUCGUAGUUGAACUUCAGACCUGGCUGGGCGGUCUGCCUAACGGUAUGUACUGUCCGGCAGGGUCUUACCUCUUGGUGAGCCGGCAUGCCCUUCACUGGGUGUGUCGGGGAACCAGGACUUUUACCUUGAGAAAAUUAGAGUGUUCAAAGCAGGCUUAUGCCAGAAUACAUUAGCAUGGAAUAAUAAAAUAGGACGUGCGGUUCUAUUUUGUUGGUUUCUAGAGUCGCCGUAAUGAUUAAUAGGGAUAGUUGGGGGCAUUAGUAUUCCGUUGCUAGAGGUGAAAUUCUUGGAUUUACGGAAGACUAACUAUUGCGAAAGCAUUUGCCAAGGAUGUUUUCAUUAAUCAAGAACGAAGGUUAGGGGAUCGAAAACGAUCAGAUACCGUUGUAGUCUUAACAGUAAACUAUGCCGACUAGGGAUCGGGCGAACUCAAUUUGAUGUGUCGCUCGGCACCUUACGAGAAAUCAAAGUCUUUGGGUUCUGGGGGGAGUA
rnacentral:rRNA from 1 species